GGGGGAAUCUUGGGCAAUGGGCGAAAGCCUGACCCAGCCAUGCCGCGUGGAGGAAGACACCCCUAUGGGGCGUAAACUCUUUUUGUGCAGGAAGAAGGCCUCGGUCACCGAGGUUUGACGGUACUGCACGAAUAAGCACCGGCUAGCUCCGUGCCAGCAGCCGCGGUAAUACGGAGGGUGCAAGCGUUGUCCGGAAUCACUGGGUGUAAAGGGUGUGUAGGCGGGAUUGUAAGUCAGAGGUGAAAUCUUACGGCUCAACCGUAAAAUUGCCUUUGAUACUGCGGUUCUUGAGUCCCGGGGAGGCUGUUGGAAUUCGUGGUGUAGCGGUGAAAUGCGUAGAUAUCACGAGGAACACCAGAGGCGAAAGCGAACAACUGGACGGGUACUGACGCUAAGGCACGAAAGCGUGGGGAGCAAACAGGAUUAGAUACCCUGGUAGUCCACGCUGUAAACGAUGAAUGCUCGGUGUUGCCUCCCUUUGAGGGGGCAGCGCUUAAGCUAACGCGUUAAGCAUUCCACCUGGGGAGUACGCUCGCAAGAGUA
rnacentral:rRNA from 1 species